rnacentral:snRNA from 1 species
AUAAUAACCUGGCAGGGGAGAUACCAUGAUCACAAAGGUGGUUUUCCCAGGGUGAGGCUUAUCUAUUGCAUUCCAGAUGUGCUGACCUCUGCGAUUUCCCCAAAUGUGGGAAACUCAACUGCAUAAUUUGUUGUAGCUAAUAA